UUUUUUUAAGUUCACUUUUCCACUUCCAACUUUCAAAACUUGCAAUUUUGACACCCUAAAUACAAAAACUAUAAUUUUCCCUCUCAAGAUUUAGCCCCUUUGCAAUUUUGAUCCUUUUUAUCACUUUUGAUCAGUCAAAGCCUAUGCGGUACGCCACGUGUGUAAUUAUUAAAUUUAAAAAAUUAAAAAAGCAUAUAAUUAUUUUUUAAAUUAAAUAAAAAAAAAUCAGAAAAAAAUUAAAAAUAAAACUCAAAUCAUAAUCUUCAUCUUCUUUCAUCAUAUCAUUCCAAAUCCAAUCAAAAAAAAAAAAUGGUGCUACUUUGAUGUUUGGAUUUUAUGCUUGACGCCAUCUGAAUUUCCUGAUUUAUUUUAUUUUUUAAUUUAAUUUAAAAAAUAAUUAUAUGAUUUUUUUAAUUCAAUAAUUACACAUGUGGUGUGCCAUGUAGACAUUAACCGAUCAAAAUUGACAAAAAUGAUCAAAAUUGCAAAGGGGUUAAUUCUUGAGGGGCCAAAAUUGUAGUUUUUGUACUUAGAGGGCCAAAAUUGCAAGUUUUUGAAAGUUAAGGGGGGAAAAUACACUUUAGCCUUAAGUGACCUCUUUUUUGUUUGGCUUAAUUACACUUUUAGUCCCCGCAUUUUGACCAGCUCACGAAAAUGGUCUCGCCUCUUUCAAAUCAAACAAAACCGUCCAUAAACUAUAUGUUUUUUGUAGUUUUAGUCCUACCUCCUAUUUUCAACUCCAGAAACGCAGAGAAAUGACAGUUUUAGACCUACCCCCUAUGCUCAACCAUGAAAUAAACAAGGAAUAAAGCAUGUGGGUGUAACACCUUAUUUCUAUUAAAGCAAUAAAACAUGCGAAUAAUGCAUUUAUUCAAGAAACAAAUGCUACGUCAUCAUACAAAAUUCAAAUUCAACAAGCAUGCAUACAAGAAUCUUCAAGUUCCUCUUCUCUCUAACCUUUUUUUCCUCUUUCUCCCACUUUCUCUCUCUAGCUAUCUCAAAAAUAUCUUGUAAUAAAGGUGUGAGGAAAUUUCCUCUAAGACAAGGUUUAUAUAGUAUGUCCCCUUAAUGUGCAUAACCCUAAAAUUUAAUGGAUUUAACCCAUUCCAACUUAAAUCUAAAAUGUUUCUACACACAUAACGGUAAAUCACUAAUAACGGUCACUUAACGGUAAAAUUUUAGUAAUUAAUCACUAUGAUAGUAACUUAGCAAAGAACAACUUUUUCAUAACUUCACAAUUACAGCCUUAAUAAACCAAUACAAAUCUUAGAUACAAAAAACAAUUAACUAUUUACAUAACAAAAUAAUAAAUCAAUGGGGAUGAAGUUAUGAAAACAAAUCAGUGCUUCAAGAUCUGGAGCUUCAAAAGAAGAUCAGAGAUGUUAGCUAUGAAUGAAUAACAAAUCAAUUGCAUGUAUCUUUAUGUGUUGGUUAUGCAACUAUGAAGAUGAAGGAAGUCUGAUCAAAGUACAAGAGAAAAGAGGAAGAUUAAGAAGAGAGGAUGAGAGAAGAAGAGAGGAAGAGAGAUGAUUUGGGUAGAUAGAAGUGGAAGCGAUGAUGUUUCUAGAGAGAGAAGGGGAUCUUGAGAAAUGAGAUAAAAAAGGGAUUUAUGUUACCUAUUUUUUUUUUAUGUUAUUUAUGUUACCUAACCUGCCAAACACUAGGAAAAUAAUAAAUAAAGCUAUUUUGUC
rnacentral:lncRNA from 1 species